rnacentral:rRNA from 1 species
GCGUUGCUCGGAAUCACUGGGCGUAAAGGGCGCGUAGGCGGAUCUUUAAGUCGGGGGUGAAAGCCCAGGGCUCAACCCUGGAAUUGCCCUCGAUACUGAAGAUCUUGAGACCGGUAGAGGUAAGUGGAACUGCGAGUGUAGAGGUGAAAUUCGUAGAUAUUCGCAAGAACACCAGUGGCGAAGGCGGCUUACUGGACCGGUUCUGACGCUGAGGCGCGAAAGCGUG